GGAGGGGUUUGUAUAAGAUGGGGAGAUGUUGGGGACAUUGUCCCUCUUUUGUCCCCACACUUCCGCGGCCCCUGGUUUUUCCGAUAUGCUGACUGGGCUCAGGAUUAAAUGCAGAAUGGUUGACCAGUUAUAUGUAAAAAAAAGUGUUGGAUUAAUUAGUGUCGAGAAUGGGUUUGGAUUUGGAUUUUUGUGAUGUUUUUAAUUUACAAAGUCUUUCAAGUUUUUUAAUUAUGGUGAAAUUUUAAUUAUUGCUUAAUCGUUAUGUCAGCUUAUUUUUCGUGCAGCAUAUCCAUUUGUUACACAAUUUUUGGUUUUAUUCAUGUUAAAUGGUACAAGAUUUUGUUAUUUAAUUAUUUUGUCCUCCAAAAAUUACACACUUAAAGAUGCAUUAAGUGCUAACUGAUUUUUUGGAAAUGCAACGGCCAACAAAUCACUUAGCACAUAAUGCACCUUGAAAAACGCUAUUUAAUUUACUAUAUAAAACAAAACGUCCUUUUAAAGUUCAAAUUGAAGCAGCAAUUAUAAAAUAACCUGCAGCCAUACUAAUUUCCAAAACACUUAGAAAAAAGUCUUGUUUUACGUCAUUCCUCAAUCCCCCAGAAUAUUUACAAUUUAGUUUUUAUUAUGAGUAAAAAGUGUGUAAAUUUUUUAGUUUUUAGUUAAAAAAAAUGAAACAUUCGAAAUUUAUAGAAUCGAGAUCACGAUCAUUCUCUACUUAAAAACAAUCUCGUUAAAACGAAUUUGCUUUAAAUUUGCACCGGUUUAAAUACAUAUAUAUUUUUAAUUUUAGUUAGUUAAAUUUAUUUAUUUAUAAUGUUCCCAUAUCUUAAUUUACAUAAUAUGAGUCUUACCGAGCUCGAGUUAACCACUCAAAAACAAUUAAACUAACUGCCUUUAUUUAUUUUGCCAGUUUUUUUCAUUUACAUAUAUAAAAGAAGUACCUAUUUAAAUAUUAUAAAUUUUACCAUUUUAUGUAAUGGCAAACUUGUGUGAUUCCUUCUCAGAAUAUGGAUUUGAUCUUUGAUUGUGAUUGUAUUAGUAUGGAAAAUUGUGAGAAAAAAUCUCUUAAAGUUUUAACCUAGGACUGGACAACCCUUCACCAAAAAUUCCUAUGUUAAGUAAAAACAAUCUUCUUAUUUCUUAUCCAAUACUAAAAAAAGAGAGAAAAAUUAUUACGUAACUAUUACUUUUUGACAAUCCAUAUAAAAAUUCCCAGAAUUUUUUCUACCAAUUCUACAUUACGUUAAAAAUUUCUUUCUAAUGACCGAUGCAAAAAAAAUGAUCAAAGAAAUGAAAUGAAAUGACUGUUGUACUAUUUGUGACUGUUUACCAUUUACCUAAAAGAAAAAAACCUACCCGUUAAAAAUGAAAUGAAAUUAGGAGAGCUAAAUAACUACAAAUUAACUGAGGAUUAACGUACAAGUGAGAAAGAAAAAUACAUGUAUUUUAUGUAUCACUAGUUAAUAGUUGACUAGUUUGUAUACGUGAUGAUAUUUGAUAAUCAUGUCACUUUUUCGAAAAAUCCAAACUUCAUAAUUUCCAAAAAAUUGAUAAUCAAUCAUUUAAUCGUCGUUGUUGUUACCUAUUUACCAUUCAUAAAUCAAUCAAAGCAUUAUUGUCAAUGCAAGUAAUUACUUUGAACAAUCCUGUAUAAUCAGAGAAUAAUUUACAUAAAUAUAUAUACGUACUUAUUUACAUAAUUGUCGUAAUUAAUUAUGUAAAUGUAUUAAUCGUAAUAAUAAAUAUGGAAUAAAACACAGUAAACGUACAUAUUUGUCGUCUUGUAUAAAUUAUAGCGAGGCAGUUCACGCGGUGUUUGGUAAUUUUGUAAAAUUCGUAAAAUUUGGGUCAAAUAAUUUUACGAAAUAGGAAGGCGCACGUGGUCUUCGUAAAUUUGCAAAAUUGGGAAGCUAAUGUUCCCCGGAAAUAUGCGGAGUUUGGAAAUUUAUGGAUUUUACAAAGUUACGAAGGACCGCGUGAAUUACCUCAGUAUUGAUAAUCACGUAUGUAAUUUAACUCUAUAUUUCAAUCAAGUACGAAAAGUGAUAUGUACUGACCCCCCACGUGACGACCCAUUGAUGUUAUAUAUUGGACUUAUUAUUGAUAUUACUCUCUCUACAUGGCGUAAUUUACAUAUUUCUGUAUGUGCAAGUAGUUCUUUCUCCAGUGAACGAAUGAGUCAGACCAAUUUCUGAGAAUAAAAAUGUUGUAAUCUAAAAAAUAUA